rnacentral:lncRNA from 1 species
ACAUGACAAUCGAUUGUGAUUGAUUUACUCCUUUUAACGAUUUGACAGUCAAUUGGAGUUGAAUUGCUCAGUUUAACAACAUAGCGAUCGAUUUAAAAUUGAAGUGCUCAUUUUAACAACAUGGUGGUCAGUUUGAAGUUGAAUUGUUUAGUUUAGUGAUAUGCUAGUCAGUUUGAAAUUGAGUUGCUCAAUUUCAUGAUAUGAUAGUCGGAUUGAAGUUGAGUUGCUCAAUUUAAUGAAAUGUCGGUCGAUUUGAAGUUGAGUUUGAUUUUGAACUUGGUUUGCUUAGUUUAAUAACUGGACGAUCGAAGUUGGUUUGAGUUUGAGCUUGAUUUACUCAGUUUAA